ensembl:snoRNA Gm24985 predicted gene, 24985
CCUGUCCUAGAGGUGUUGCAUCUGUGGCUGCUGUGUCCAUGUGUAUCAGUAGGUAGCAGAGAGAAGAGGGGCUAGGUCUAUGUUCAGUGUUUUGACCUGUGGACAUGGAAUGAUUAGAAGUCCAACACU